UACGUAGGUGGCGAGCGUUGUCCGGAAUUACUGGGUGUAAAGCGCGCGUAGGCGGGAGGCCAAGUCUGCGGUGAAAUCGCUCGGCUCAACUGGGCGGGGUCCGUGGAAACUGGUCACCUGGAGGACGGUAGAGGCAAGUGGAAUUCCCGGUGUAGUGGUGAAAUGCGUAGAGAUCGGGAGGAACACCAGUGGCGAAGGCGGCUUGCUGGGCCGGCCCUGACGCUGAGGCGCGAAGGCGUGGGGAGCGAAC
rnacentral:rRNA from 1 species